AUGAAAGCCAUAGCUUGGAAUUGCCGGGGUAUGGGCCGAGACCUCGGCAAUGAACGUAUGCUAUUUCUGGCCAAUCUGAUUCGUUCUACUAAAGCUCAGGUAACCUUUGUUUCUGAAAUCAAAUCUUCCAAGGUUCGGUCGGUUGAUCUUGUUAAUAGGUUUGAUGUUGCUAAUAGUUUUGUUGUUCCUUCUAGAGGAGCCUUUGGAGGGCUCUGGCUUAUGUGGAAUGAUGAACUCAAUGUGUCUGUUCAUAGUGCCUCCUUUCAUUAUAUUUUAGCUAAUGUAGUUCAUCUAGCCUCGGGUGUUCACUUUUGUUUGAUUUGUAUAUAUGGUGACCCCUACCAUAGGCAGACUAGUGCUAUUUGGAGUCAAGUUUCUACUUUUGUGUAUGAUAACUUGGGUAAGCCCAUGAUGUGUAUUGGAGACCUUAAUGACAUCUUGUAUGAUACAGAUGGUUGUAAUGGUAGUGUUAAUUAUUAUCGCAUGUCUGCUUUUCGUUCCCUUGUUAAAAAUUGUGGUUUUUUUGAUAUUGGUUUUAGUGGUCCUGCGUACACUUGGCGUAACAAACAGCAUACUGUUAAUUCUAUUUACAUACGUCUAGACCGAUGCCUUGUCAACUCUGACUGGUGUGCGCAUUAUCCUAAUUCUAAAGUGCUCAACUUACCUAUUAUUCUCAGUGAUCAUGCGCCCAUUCUCGUUUCUACAGACGCAAAGUCUUAUUCUUUGGCAGGUUCUUUGAAGAAGUGGUGUAAGAAGAAAAAGCUCUUCCAGCAAGAGCUUUUGGAAAUUGAGUCCAGUAUUAAUCAGAUUCAGCAGCUUCCAAUUCAGAAGCAAAAUCACACUUUGGAAAGCUCUCUCACUCUUAGGUAUGAACAAACUCUCUCUAAGCUCAAUCAAUUUUAUAAACAGAGAAGUAAGAAGGGUUGGGCCACUGCUGGUGAUCGUAAUACUAAGUUUUUUCAUCAGGUUGUGAUCAAAAGAAGAAAAAGAAAUACUAUUUGUUCCAUUAAGGAUGAGAAUGAUGUGCUUCAUUUUAAACCUAGUGCUAUCACUAAUACUUUUGUCAAUUAUUUUAGAUACAUCUUCUCUUCGCCAAACAAUAACACUGCAAGGCCUUUUCUUAAUACUCGUUUGCCUGACAACUCUUUGGAUCCUACUUACUUUCUUCCAGAUAAACAUGAGAUUUUGCAGAUUCUCAAAGAUAUGAAGUUGAAUGCUUCUCUGGGUCCGGAUGGAUUUAAUGUUGAAUUUUAUCUGGCAGCAUGGGAUUGGAUUGGCGAGGAAGUUACUCAACUUGUGACUACCUUUUAUAAAACUGGUAUUUUACCUCCUCAUAUCAAUGACACUAAUAUUGCUCUCAUUCCAAAAAAGUUAGUUUCUCAAGUUCCUAUGGAUUAUCGUCCCAUUAGCCUUUGUAAUGUUGUCUACAAAAUCAUUGCGAAAUCAUUGGCUAAUAGGAUUAAGCCUCAUCUUCCGGACUAUAUUUAUCCGGCACAACAAACCUUUAUUGAGGGUAGAAGAAUUAGCGAUAACAUCAUUAUUGCUCAAGAGAUUACUCACUCAUUCGCUCUAAAAUCGUGGAAUCAUCAUGCUUUCAUGCUCAAGAUAGAUCUUGCUAAAGCUUUUGAUCGUCUUGAAUGGAGUUUCAUUGUGUCUGCUCUUGCACGUAAAGGUCUGCAUGGUCAUUUCAUUAAUUUGAUUCAUGCUUGCAUUUCUUCUCCUACUUUCUCUGUGCUUAUUAAUGGGCAGCCUUCUCAUAAAUUUAAAAGUUUCAGAGGUAUUCGUCAAGGCUGUCCCAUGUCGCCUUAUUUGUUUGUUAUUGCUAUCAAUGAAUUAUCUGUUGCUCUUAAUGAAGCUCUAGCUGCUCAUCAUCUCCAGGGUAUUUCACUUGGUCCAGAUUGCCCUUCUAUUCAUUCUCUGUUGUUUGCAGAUGAUCUGUUGGUUUGUGGUCAAGCCACUAUGCAGGAAGCAAAUUCUAUGGCUCAACUCAUCCAUCACUUUUGUUAUAUUUCAGGUCAAACACCAAAUUGGGCCAAAUCUGCUAUUCUUUUUAGUACUCAUGUUAGUCAAAUCACUAUUCAAGAGAUUAAGCAAGUUUUUCCUGUUUCUAUCAUGGAUAACAAUUUCACCCACCUUGGUCAUCUGCUUAUUCUUCCUGCUAAAAAUAGAACUGCUGCUUACAACUUUGUUAUUGAUAAAUUUCUGAAUAAAUUGCCUGCUUACAAAGCUAAUAUGCUCUCUCAUGCUGCUAGGCUUGAGCUCAUUAGGUCUGUGUUCUCUGCUAUUCCUGUGUACUACAUGUCUAAUAUUUUGUUUACCAAGAAGUUUAUAGCCAAACUCACUGCUAUUAUAAGGAACUUUUGGUAG
rnacentral:rRNA from 1 species